rnacentral:rRNA from 1 species
AACGAACGCUGGCGGCAUGCCUAACAUAUGCAAGUCGAACGAGACCUUCGGGUCUAGUGGCGCACGGGUGCGUAACGCGUGGGAACCUGCCCUUAGGUUCGGAAUAACUCCCCGAAAGGGGUGCUAAUACCGGAUAAUGUCUUCGGACCAAAGAUUUAUCGCCUUUGGAUGGGCCCGCGUUGGAUUAGCUAGUUGGUAGGGUAAAAGCCUACCAAGGCGACGAUCCAUAGCUGGUCUGAGAGGAUGAUCAGCCACACUGGGACUGAGACACGGCCCAGACUCCUAGGGGGGGAAGGAGGGGGGAAUAUGGAAAAGUGGGAAAAGUCCAGACCCAACAAGGCCGGGUGAGGAAUGAAGGCUUGGGGGUUGUAAAGCUUUUUUCCCCGGGAUUAUAAUGACAUUACCGGGAGAAUAGGCCCCGGCUAACCCGGGG